UAUAAUGCAGUCGAGCGAACAGAUAAGGAGCUUGCUCCUUUGACGUUAGCGGCGGACGGGUGAGUAACACGUGGGUAACCUACCUAUAAGACUGGGAUAACUUCGGGAAACCGGAGCUAAUACCGGAUAACAUUUGGAACCGCAUGGUUCUAAAGUGAAAGAUGGUUUUGCUAUCACUUAUAGAUGGACCCGCGCCGUAUUAGCUAGUUGGUAAGGUAACGGCUUACCAAGGCGACGAUACGUAGCCGACCUGAGAGGGUGAUCGGCCACACUGGAACUGAGACACGGUCCAGACUCCUACGGGAGGCAGCAGUAGGGAAUCUUCCGCAAUGGGCGAAAGCCUGACGGAGCAACGCCGCGUGAGUGAUGAAGGGUUUCGGCUCGUAAAACUCUGUUAUUAGGGAAGAACAAACGUGUAAGUAACUGUGCACGUCUUGACGGUACCUAAUCAGAAAGCCACGGCUAACUACGUGCCAGCAGCCGCGGUAAUACGUAGGUGGCAAGCGUUAUCCGGAAUUAUUGGGCGUAAAGCGCGCGUAGGCGGUUUCUUAAGUCUGAUGUGAAAGCCCACGGCUCAACCGUGGAGGGUCAUUGGAAACUGGGAAACUUGAGUGCAGAAGAGGAAAGUGGAAUUCCAUGUGUAGCGGUGAAAUGCGCAGAGAUAUGGAGGAACACCAGUGGCGAAGGCGACUUUCUGGUCUGUAACUGACGCUGAUGUGCGAAAGCGUGGGGAUCAAACAGGAUUAGAUACCCUGGUAGUCCACGCCGUAAACGAUGAGUGCUAAGUGUUAGGGGGUUUCCGCCCCUUAGUGCUGCAGCUAACGCAUUAAGCACUCCGCCUGGGGAGUACGACCGCAAGGUUGAAACUCAAAGGAAUUGACGGGGACCCGCACAAGCGGUGGAGCAUGUGGUUUAAUUCGAAGCAACGCGAAGAACCUUACCAAAUCUUGACAUCCUUUGAAAACUCUAGAGAUAGAGCCUUCCCCUUCGGGGGACAAAGUGACAGGUGGUGCAUGGUUGUCGUCAGCUCGUGUCGUGAGAUGUUGGGUUAAGUCCCGCAACGAGCGCAACCCUUAAGCUUAGUUGCCAUCAUUAAGUUGGGCACUCUAGGUUGACUGCCGGUGACAAACCGGAGGAAGGUGGGGAUGACGUCAAAUCAUCAUGCCCCUUAUGAUUUGGGCUACACACGUGCUACAAUGGACAAUACAAAGGGCAGCUAAACCGCGAGGUCAUGCAAAUCCCAUAAAGUUGUUCUCAGUUCGGAUUGUAGUCUGCAACUCGACUACAUGAAGCUGGAAUCGCUAGUAAUCGUAGAUCAGCAUGCUACGGUGAAUACGUUCCCGGGUCUUGUACACACCGCCCGUCACACCACGAGAGUUUGUAACACCCGAAGCCGGUGGAGUAACCAUUUAUGGAGCUAGCCGUCGAAG
rnacentral:rRNA from 1 species